rnacentral:tRNA from 1 species
UUCCCAGUGGCUCAGUGGUAAAGAAUCUGCCUGCAAUGCAGGAAACCCAGGUUCCAUCCCUGGGUUGGAAA